UACGUAUGGGGCAAGCGUUGUCCGGAUUUAUUGGGCGUAAAGAGCGUGUAGGCGGCCAUGUAGGUCCGUUGUGAAAACUCGAGGCUCAACCUCGAGACGUCGGCGGAAACCAUCUGGCUAGAGUCCGGAAGAGGAGAGUGGAAUUCCUGGUGUAGCGGUGAAAUGCGCAGAUAUCAGGAAGAACACCCGUGGCGAAGGCGGCUCUCUGGGACGGUACUGACGCUGAGACGCGAAAGCGUGGGGAGCGAACAGG
rnacentral:rRNA from 1 species